GAUGAACGCUGGCGGCGUGCCUAAUACAUGCAAGUCGAGCGAACAGACGAGGAGCUUGCUCCUCUGACGUUAGCGGCGGACGGGUGAGUAACACGUGGAUAACCUACCUAUAAGACUGGGAUAACUUCGGGAAACCGGAGCUAAUACCGGAUAAUAUAUUGAACCGCAUGGUUCAAUAGUGAAAGACGGUUUUGCUGUCACUUAUAGAUGGAUCCGCGCCGCAUUAGCUAGUUGGUAAGGUAACGGCUUACCAAGGCGACGAUGCGUAGCCGACCUGAGAGGGUGAUCAGCCACACUGGAACUGAGACACGGUCCAGACUCCUACGGGAGGCAGCAGUAGGGAAUCUUCCGCAAUGGGCGAAAGCUUGACGGAGCAACGCCGCGUGAGUGAUGAAGGUCUUCGGAUCGUAAAACUCUGUUAUUAGGGAAGAACAAAUGUGUAAGUAACUAUGCACGUCUUGACGGUACCUAAUCAGAAAGCCACGGCUAACUACGUG
rnacentral:rRNA from 1 species